UAAUUGUAGAAAUGGAGGCAAAACAU
rnacentral:piRNA from 1 species